UACGUAGGGUGCAAGCGUUAAUCGGAAUUACUGGGCGUAAAGCGUGCGCAGGCGGUGAUGUAAGACAGGUGUGAAAUCCCCGGGCUCAACCUGGGAAUUGCAUUUGUGACUGCACGGCUAGAGUGCGGAAGAGGGAAGCGGAAUUUCCGGUGUAGCGGUGAAAUGCGUAGAUAUCGGAAGGAACACCAGUGGCGAAAAGCGGCUUCCUGGUCCAGCACCGACGUUCAGGCACGAAAGCGUGGGGAGCAAACAGG
rnacentral:rRNA from 1 species